GUCCUUUUGUUUUAUAUAUAAGGUUUAACCUGCCCACUGAAUAAUUUAAAUGGCCGCAGUAUUUUAACUGUGCAAAGGUAGCAUAAUCAUUAGUUUUUUAAUUAAAAGCUUGUAUGAAAGGUUGGACGAGGUAAAAACUGUCUUUAUUUAAUUAAUUAUAAAAUUUAAUUUUUAAGUUAAAAAGCUUAAAUUUUUUUAAAAGACGAGAAGACCCUAUAGAUCUUUAUAUUUAUUAUUUUAUUUUUAAUUAAGAUUUAUUUAAAUUUUAUUAUAUUAAAUAUUUUGUUGGGGUAAUAAGAAGAUUAAAAAAAUUCUUUUAUAUAUUAUUCAUUGAUUAAUGUUUUAAUGAUCCAAUUUUAUUGAUUAUAAGAUUAAGUUACCUUAGGGAUAACAGCGUAAUUUUUUUAGAGAGUUCAUAUCGAUAAAAAAGUUUGCGACCUCGAUGUUGGAUUAAAGAUUAAUUUAGGUGUAGAUGUUUAAAUUUUUGGUCUGUUCGACCAUUAAAUCUUUACAUGAUCUGAGUUCAGACCGGUGUAAGCCAGGUCGGUUUCUAUCUUUAAUAAUAUAAUAUAUUUUAGUACGAAAGGACCAAAUAUAUAAUAUAUAUAUAUUUAUUAAUUUUUGAAUAUUAUUAAUUACUUUGGCAGAUUAGUGUAAUGAAUUUAGAAUUCAUAUAUGUAAAUAUUUACAAGUAAUACUUGUUUUAUAUAGAUAUAAUAUUUUCUUUAAUUUGUAUGUUAUUAUUAAUUAUUUGUGUAUUA
rnacentral:rRNA from 1 species